rnacentral:rRNA from 1 species
GAUGAACGCUGGCGGCGUGCCUAAUACAUGCAAGUCGAGCGAACAGACGAGGAGAUUCCUCCUCUGACGUUAACGUCACACGGGUGAGGAACACGUGGAUAACCUAACGCUAAGACUGCGAUCACUUCGGAAAACCAUAGCCAAUACCGGACAAUAUAAUGAACAGAUUAGUUCUAUAGAGAAAGACGGUUUUGCUUUCACUUAUAGACGGAUACGCGCAGCAUUAGCUAGUUGGUACGGUAACGGCUUACCAAGGCAACGCUGCGUAGCCGACCUGAGCGGGUGGUCGGCCACACGGGAACUGAGAGACGGUCCAGACUCCUACGGGAGGCAGCAGUAGGGAAUCUUACGCAAAGGGCGAAAGCCUGACGGAGCAACGCCGCGUGAGUGAUGAAGGUCUGCGGAUCGUAAAACUAUGUUAUUAGGGAAGAACAAAUGUGUAGGUAACUAUGAACGUAUUGACGGUACCUAAUCAGAAAGCCACGGCUAACUACGUG